rnacentral:misc_RNA from 1 species
GCGAGAAUUGGGCCUUCGGGUCCUAGUCCCAAUCCACACACAUCGUUGAACUUUUUCGGCGUCCUUGGGUGAAAGCAUCCGUGCGAUUAGCCCUGUUGGAUCAGCCUUGUAAACUCGUUUGAAAGUCUGGAAGUAUAAUGUAUAACCAAGUA